rnacentral:rRNA from 1 species
GAUGAACGCUGGCGGCGUGCCUAAUACAUGCAAGUCGAGCGAACAGACGAGGAGCUUUCUCCUCUGACGUUAGCGGCGGACGGGUGAGUAACACGUGGAUAACCUACCUAUAAGACUGGGAUAACUUCGGGAAACCGGAGCUAAUACCGGAUAAUAUAUUGAACCGCAUGGUUCAAUAGUGAAAGACGGUUUUGCUGUCACUUAUAGAUGGAUCCGCGCCGCAUUAGCUAGUUGGUAAGGUAACGGCUUACCAAGGCGACGAUGCGUAGCCGACCUGAGAGGGUGAUCGGCCACACUGGAACUGAGACACGGUCCAGACUCCUACGGGAGGCAGCAGUAGGGAAUCUUCCGCAAUGGGCGAAAGCUUGACGGAGCAACGCCGCGUGAGUGAUGAAGGUCUUCGGAUCGUAAAACUCUGUUAUUAGGGAAGAACAAAUGUGUAAGUAACUAUGCACGUCUUGACGGUACCUAAUCAGAAAGCCACGGCUAACUACGUG